CUCUUUAUCCCAGACCGUACGGCUCACUGGGGCUGAGCGUGGCAGUGACAGGGAUGUGCACAGCUGACUGACUGACUGAGUGACGGGUUUGUUUUCACUUUGGGGAUUACACAGGAUACAGCUGGACACUUGGGGACAUUGAAGGAAGGGUGCACUAAAAAAAGCCAGACGCCAUGCAACAGAAUGACUUUGCCCAGGAUGCAAACCAGCUGGAGGAGAAAUACCAGGAUGAGUCACCCAGAGGAGAACCGGUCCAGUUGGAGUCCCCAGAUGCCGCCCCGUUCAGCUGCCUGGAUCACUUGGUGGUGCGGAGGCAUUCAUGUCGCACCAUGCAGCUGCCGCCCUUGGCUUUCAGGCUGGCGGAGCAGGCCUAUUACGACCGUACACCUGAACCGACCCCCAUGACAGUACCCUCCCGGCCGACCACUCUGUCUCUGCUGCCCCCCAUUAUUAACAUCACCGCCGCGGACUCCACCAGGUACGACAACCACACUUCUAACUCGAGUAUCUGGGACUUAUGGGUAGAAAACAACUCCCAAUAAUGAUUGUGCAAACAAAUCUGUGCAUCACGUUGAAUAAGUUACUCCUGACCAGAGGUUCCACUAGACGUUUUUUUUGUUUUGUCGACACUUUGGCCGGCUGGGUCAUAAAAUGUUGGCCAUUCACAAGAAUUGUGUCAUAUUAUCAAUGGGAGAGCAGGUGUCAUGCUGGCGUACCCAACUCAACUGCAC
rnacentral:lncRNA from 1 species